AGUGAACGCUGGCGGCAGGCUUAACACAUGCAAGUCGAACGGCAGCACAGUAAGAGCUUGCUCUUACGGGUGGCGAGUCGCGUAAGGGUGAGGAAUACAUCGGAAUCUACUUUUUCGUGUGGGUUGACGUAGGGAAACUUACGCUAAUACCGCAUACGACCCACGGGUGAAAGGAUUGGAUCUUCUGACCUUGUGCGAUUGAAUGAGCCGAUGUUGGUGUAGCUAGUUGGCGGGGUGAAGACCCACCAAGGCGACGAUCCGCAGCUGGACUGAGAGGAGGAUAGGCCACAUUAGAGCUGGAACGCGGUCCAGGGUCCUACGGGAGGCCGCAGUGGGGAAUGUUAGACAGUGGGCGCAAGCCUGAUCCAGCCAUACCGCGUGGGUGGAGGAGGCCUUCGGGUUGUAAAGCCGUUUUGUUGGGAGAGAAAAGCAGCAGGUUAAUACCCCGCUGUUGUGACGGUACCCAAUGAAUAAGCACCGGCUAACUACGUG
rnacentral:rRNA from 1 species